rnacentral:rRNA from 1 species
UACGGGGGGGGCAAGCGUUGUUCGGAAUUACUGGGCGUAAAGGGCGCGUAGGCGGCCUGCUAAGUCGGACGUGAAAUCCCUCGGCUCAACCGGGGAACUGCGUCCGAUACUGGCGAGGCUUGAAUCCGGGAGAGGGAUGUGGAAUUCCAGGUGUAGCGGUGAAAUUCGUAGAUAUUGGGAAGAACACCGGUGGCGAAGGCGGCUCUCUGGACCGAGACUGACGCUGAGGCGCGAAAGCUAGGGGAGCGAACAGG